AGCAGCCGCGGUAAUUCCAGCUCCAAUAGCGUAUAUUAAAGUUGUUGCAGUUAAAAAGCUCGUAGUUGAAUUUCGGGACCAUCAUGUUGGUCGUGCCUCGGUACGUACUGGCAUUGUUGGUUUCUCCCUUCUGACGAACCAUGAUGUCAUUUAUUUGGUGUCGUGGGAAAUCAGGACUGUUACUUUGAAAAAAUUAGAGUGUUUAAAGCAGGCUCACGCUUGAAUACAUUAGCAUGGAAUAAUGAAAUAGGACGUUUGAUUCUAUUUUGUUGGUUUCUAGGAUCGACGUAAUGAUUAAUAGGGAUAGUUGGGGGCAUUAGUAUUCAAUUGUCAGAGGUGAAAUUCUUGGAUUUAUUGAAGACUAACUACUGCGAAAGCAUUUGCCAAGGAUGUUUUCAUUAAUCAAGAACGAAAGUUAGGGGAUCGAAGACGAUCAGAUACCGUCGUAGUCUUAACCAUAA
rnacentral:misc_RNA from 1 species